GAAACCUAGUGAUUCUAAACUUAGUGGCGGACGGGUGAGUAACGCGUGGGUAACCUGCCCUAUAGAGUGGGAUAGCAGUUAGAAAUGACUGAUAAUACCACAUAAGACCACAGUACGGCAUCGUACAGGGGUCAAAGAUUUAUCGCUAUAGGAUGGACCCGCGUCUGAUUAGCUAGUUGGUGAGGUAACGGCCCACCAAGGCGACGAUCAGUAGCCGGCUUGAGAGAGUGACCGGCCACAUUGGGACUGAGACACGGCCCAAACUCCUACGGGAGGCAGCAGUGGGGGAUAUUGCACAAUGGAGGAAACUCUGAUGCAGCGACGCCGCGUGAGUGAAGAAGUAUUUCGGUAUGUAAAGCUCUAUCAGCUGGGAAUAAAAAAAUGAAGGUACCAGAGUAAGAAGCACCGGCUAAAUACGUGCCAGCAGCCGCGGUAAUACGUAUGGUGCAAGCGUUAUCCGGAUUUACUGGGUGUAAAGGGAGCGCAGGUGGCGCGGCAAGUCAGAAGUGAAAGCCCGGGGCUUAACCCCGGUAUUGCUUUUGAAACUACCGUGCUAGAGUGCAGGAGGGGUAAGCGGAAUUCCUAGUGUAGCGGUGAAAUGCGUAGAUAUUAGGAAGAACACCGGUGGCGAAGGCGGCUUACUGGACUGUAACUGACACUGAGGCUCGAAAGCGUGGGUAGCAAACAGGAUUAGAUACCCUGGUAGUCCACGCUGUAAACGAUGA
rnacentral:rRNA from 1 species